GUAGGGAAUAUUGGGCAAUGGAUGCAAGUCUGACCCAGCCAUCCCGCGUGCCGGAAGAAGGCCCUCAGGGUUGUAAACGGCUUUUGACGGUGAAGAACCGACAGGAUGCGUCCUGUUUUGACGGUAGCCGUUGAAUAAGCACCGGCUAACUCCGUGCCAGCAGCCGCGGUAAUACGGAGGGUGCGAGCGUUGUCCGGAUUUAUUGGGUUUAAAGGGUGCGUAGGCUGGUAGGGCAGUCAGCGGUGAAAAGCUAUCGCUUAACGAUAGUCUUGCCGCAGAUACUUCCUUUCUUGGAUGAGGAGGAGGCCACUGGAACGGAUGGUGUAGCGGUGAAAUGCAUAGAUAUCAGCCAGAACACCGAUUGCGAAGGCAGGUGGCUGUACCUUAAUCGACGCUGAUGCACGAAAGCAUGGGGAGCAAACAGGAUUAGAAACCCCAGUAGUCC
rnacentral:rRNA from 1 species